ensembl:snRNA U4 U4 spliceosomal RNA
AGCUUUGUGCAGUGGCAGUAUCAUAGCUAAUGAAGUUAUUCUGAGGUGUGAUUAUUGCUAGUUGAAAACUUUUCCCCUAGAAUCCGUAAUGAAUGGACUAAGCCUUUUUCCUGCAGAAUUCUGAGGUUUUGUUGUCAGA